GAGUGUUUGUGUUGAGUUUGGAUCAGAAUUUGUAAAGCACACAUUCGACAUGCCACAGUUAAUAAGUGCUGUCUUAUUUUUUUUGGUGUUUCUACCAUUUGUAACAAAUGCUGAAAAAGGUGUAGAACUUGAGCGAAGGAAAGUUAAUGGGAUGGUAUUAAAUACUUUGCGUAAUAAAGCCUUUGCUGAUUUUGAUGCUAAAAUGAAAAGAAUGGCGAUAAAGAAGAUUAAGGAAUCCCCUGAUUUCAACAAAUUGAUAAAUAAUUUAAUGAAAGCAAAGAGUGAUAGAGUGCAGAAGAUUAUAGACUUGAUAUCAGAAGUAAUGAUAUUAUAUAUGUUUUAAUAAUUA